rnacentral:rRNA from 1 species
UACGUAGGGGGCGAGCGUUAAUCGGAAUUACUGGGCGUAAAGCGUGCGCAGGCGGUUUUGUAAGCCAGAUGUGAAAUCCCCGGGCUUAACCUGGGAAUGGCAUUUGGGACUGCAAGGCUCGAGUGCGGCAGAGGAGACUGGAAUUCCUGGUGUAGCAGUGAAAUGCGUAGAUAUCAGGAGGAACACCGAUGGCGAAGGCAGGUCUCUGGGCUGACACUGACGCUCAUGCACGAAAGCGUGGGGAGCAAACAGG